rnacentral:rRNA from 1 species
AAACCAGCACCUCAAGUGGUCAGGAUGAUUAUUGGGCCUAAAGCAUCCGUAGCCGGCUCUGUAAGUUUUCGGUUAAAUCUGUACGCUUAACGUACAGGCUGCUCGGAAUACUGCAGAGCUAGGGAGUGGGAGAGGUAGACGGUACUCGGGAGGAAGUGGUAAAAUGCUUUGAUCUCUCGAUGACCACCUGUGGCGAAGGCGGUCUACCAGAACACGUCCGACGGUGAGGGAUGAAAGCUGGGGGAGCAAACCGGAUUAGAAACCCCAGUAGUCC